rnacentral:rRNA from 1 species
AUUGAACGCUGGCGGCAGGCCUAACACAUGCAAGUCGAGCGGUAGCACAGGGGAGCUUGCCCCCUGGGUGACGCGCGGCGGACGGGUGUGUGAUGUCUGGGAAACUGUCUGAUGGCGGGGGAUAACUCCUGGAAACGGUAGCUCAUACCGCAUAACGUCGCAAGACCAAAGAGCGGGACCUCCGCGCCUCUUGCCCUCAGAUGUGCCCAGAUGGGAUUAGCCAGUAGGUGGGGUAAUGGCUCACCUAGGCGACGAUCCCUAGCUGGUCUGAGAGGAUGACCAGCCACACUGGAACUGAGACACGGUCCAGACUCCUACGGGAGGCAGCAGUGGGGAAUAUUGCACAAUGGGCGCAAGCCUGAUGCAGCCAUGCCGCGUGUGUGAAGAAGGCCUUCGGGUUGUAAAGCACUUUCAGCGAGGAGGAAGGUGGUGAGCUUAAUACGUUCAUCAAUUGACGUUACUCGCAGAAGAAGCACCGGCUAACUCCGUG